rnacentral:rRNA from 1 species
GACGAACGCUGGCGGCGUGCUUAACACAUGCAAGUCGAGCGAUGAAGCACCUUCGGGUGUGAAUUAGCGGCGAACGGGUGAGGAACACGUGAAGAAUCUGCCUUCAACUCUGGGAUAACCAAGGGAAACUUUGGCUAAUACCGCAUAAUCUCGAGAGAGCAAAGCUGCCCGCCAGGGUGGCACUUGAGGAGGAGCCUGCGCCCGAUUAGCUAGGUGGUGGGGUAAUGGCCUACCAAGGCGAUGAUCGGUAACUGGUCUGAGAGGACGACCAGUCACACUGGGACUGAGACACGGCCCAGACUCCUACGGGAGGCAGCAGUGGGGAAUAUUGGACAAUGGGGGCAACCCUGAUCCAGCGAUGCCGCGUGAGUGAAGAAGGCCUUCGGGUCGUAAAGCUCUUUAGGUUGGGAAGAAGGGUAUUGGCUGAAUAAUCCAGUACUUUGACGGUACCGACAGAAUAAGCACCGGCAAACUC